AUGAAUGUCGACGACACAACUGCCUCCUCUAUUGCGCAGAUUUUUGGUUGCACCACCUCUGGGUUUCCCCAAACUUAUCUCGGACUUCCUCUAUCUCCAACCAAACUACCCCCUUCGGCUUUCCAACCUCUUAUUUCUUCUUUCCGAUCUUUCCUUCCUGGCUGGUGCGCAAAACUUCUCAAUCGGGCUAGGAGGCUUGUGCUCAUCUCCUCUGUUCUGGACUCCCUCUCGACCUACUUUAUGUCAGUCUUCAAAAUUCCGAAAAAGAUACUAAAGAUGCUGGAUGCCAUUAGAAGAGCCUUCUUUUGGGCUGCUGAGGAGACAUGCACGGGCUCAAAAUGUUUGAUUGCUUGGAAAAAUAUUUGCAAACCAAAAAUUUAUGGUGGUCUAGGCAUUAAGAAUCUAGCUGUACAAAACGACUGUCUUCUUAUGAAGUUUGCCUACAAAUACCUCACACAUGACGAAAACACUCAACUACCAUGGGUUGCCUGGUUAGACAAACAACACCUAUGCAGCCUUUCCCACCUUGCUUCCUGCGAAAACCCUUCCUUCCUAACCAAAAUAAUCCAAAACAGCUGCAAAACCUGCUACACACCACCUUUGUGCUAA
rnacentral:rRNA from 1 species